UACGUAGGGUGCGAGCGUUGUCCGGAAUUAUUGGGCGUAAAGAGCUCGUAGGCGGUUUGUCGCGUCUGCCUUGAAAGUCCGGGGCUCAACUCCGGAUCUGCGGUGGGUACGGGCAGACUAGAGUGAUGUAGGGGAGACUGGAAUUCCUGGUGUAGCGGUGAAAUGCGCAGAUAUCAGGAGGAACACCGAUGGCGAAGGCAGGUCUCUGGGCAUUAACUGACGCUGAGGAGCGAAAGCAUGGGGAGCGAACAGG
rnacentral:rRNA from 1 species